UGCAAAUACAAAUAGUUUUAUUGAAAUCACAUAUCAUUAUGUUAAAUAAUAAUUAAGCCGGUGAUACCGCUUUUGAAACAGACACACAAUAAGCCCAUACUUCAUCUCUUUUCUUUAAAUAUUUGGAUUCGUUUCCGAUUAAACUAGGUCUAUCCGCGAUAUAUUUAACAAGUGUGUCAUGACACUCUUUGCCUUCUUGAACAAGCUCCUUGCAACAAGGAAUUGAUACAACUCCAUCUCCAAAAACUUGAGAAAUGAUCUUGAGCGCACAGUUUGGACUGAUUUUAACAACACAUUGAUCCCAUAACUUUUUUAGCUCAUUUUCUUCUACACCAAAUGAAGGCACACAUAUAAUCGCCACAACUAGAACAACAAAAGACAACAUAAUAAAAUUAAGCUUCGCCAUGGUUGUUAUGUGUUUGAGGAUUUACAGUUUAACUUUUCUCAAGUUAGAGAAAUAAAUAAGUUUUUAAAUUUCUGAUGUUAUUUGAAUAAACGAGGGUUACCCUAUUUAUAGAUACGAAUAAUCAAUAUUUAACAUUUAUUUUCGAUUAAUGAAUUUUGUUUUUGACGUUUUUUGUUCAUUAACAUGUGUUAAGUUACGUUUUUUGCUUAAGUUAUUAACUGCUUAGGUUUAUAGUUUAUAAAUAAUUAAAUUAGGAUUCUUGUAUUAUACAAAUGAACAUACUAAGAACUUAUAUAAGUAUUUAAAUUAUAAACUACAGAACAUUUUUAAUGAAUAUUGUUUUUAUGUCAGCAACCUAUAAUUUGGUGGUUGUAUAUCAACUUACUAACAAAAACCAAAAGUACACUCAACAUUUGAUUAAUCUAAAAAUGAUUUAAAGUAUAUAUCAAUAUAUCUCUCUCUGAGAUUAAAGGAGAUAGUUCCAGAUUUUAUAUAUUCUUUAUUUGGUGAUGUAGGAUGCUUAAGAAUAUAAUUUUAUCCUUUUAAUUCAUUAAUUGUAUAAAGUUUUAUAUCGAGAUGGUUAUUAGGUAAAACAUGACUCCACUUGGGAAAGUAAUCUACAAAUUUAAAUUCCCUCUACAAGAAACAAAACAUGAAAUCUAUAAAGAAUGAAAUUUAAUAAAAAAGAAAUAAAAAAUGAAACCAAAUUUUCGAAUUUAAACUUGCGAUAUCAUAAUUUAUCAAUUUCUAACUUACAUAAUAGUUUAAUUACUAUAUAUCUUUCAAGGAAAUUAAUGUGUUUCAUAUUAAAAAUAUAAAUAGUAUAUAUAUAUACUUACAUAAAAUUAACGAAAUGUUAUUUUUAUUCUUGAAUGAAUUUUUUUAAUUGAGUUGAGUCCUUUUAAAAAUGUUUCAUGCCACAGUUUUGAGGUGUGACUCCGUUUGUAUUUGGUUAUUUUUUUUAAUCAUUCUAAAGAUUUUAUUUUCUAUCAAUUUCAUCAAAAUAUAUGUAAUAACUCCAAAAUUUAAACCUGAAAACAUAUGUGAUGGUUCAAAGAAAAUGGUAUAUAGUUUGUGCGACCACGUGCAAUGUAAUAAGUAUGCUGCGGUUUUGUGGAUUCAAGAAAUGCUAUAUUUUUAAGAUUACAAAUCAGUGUUUAUUUUGAUAUUUCGUCUUUUUAAUUCAUAAAAACUGUGAGUAUUAAUUUUUUUUUUAAGUGUUAAUAUCUUUAAUCUGGGACUAGACCUUUUUAUUUUGCAUCUAAAACUCAGAAAAGGGAAUAUAUAAAGUAAUACAAAAGAAAAUAAGUAACACAAAACGAUAAAUAUAAAUCUCACAUAAAUAUAUUAAAAAUUAUUUUUUAUUUUGUAUGCAAAUACAAAUAGUUUUAUUAAAAUCACAUAUCAUUAUGUUAAAUAAUAAUUAAGCCGGUGAUACCGCUUUUGAAACAGAUACACAAUAAACCCAUACUGCAUCUCUUUUCUUUAAAUAUUUGGAUUCGUUUCCGAUUAAACUAGGUCUAUCCGCGAUAUAUUUGACAAGUGUGUCAUGACACUCUUUGCCUUCUUGAACAAGCUCCUUGCAACAAGGAAUGGAUACAACUCCAUCUCCAAAAACUUGAGAAAUGAUCUUGAGCGCACAGUUUGGACUGAUUUUAACAACACAUUGAUCCCAUAACUUUUUUGGCUCAUUUUCUUCUACAGCUAAUGAAGGUACACAUGUAAUCGCCACAACUAGAACAACAAAAGACAACAUAAUAAAGUUAAUCUUUGCCAUGGUUGUUAUGUGUUUGAAGAUUUACAGUUUAACUUUUUUUCAAGUUAGAGAAAGAAAUAAGUUUUUAAAUUUCUGAUGUUAUUUGAAGAAACGAGGUUUGCCCUAUUUAUAGAUACGAAUAAUCAAUAUUUAACAUUUAAUUUCGACUAAUGAAUUUUGUUUUGACGUUUUUUUGUUCAUUAACAUGUGUUAAGUUACGUUUUUUGCUGAAGUUAUUAACUACUUAGGUUUAUAGUUUAUAAAUAAUUAAAUUAGGAUUUUUGUAGUAUACAAAUUAACAUUCUAAGAACUUAUAUAAGUAUUUAAAUUAAAAACUACAGAACAUUUUUAAUGAAUAUUUUUUUUAUGUCAGCAACAUAUAAUUUGGUGGUUGUAUUUCAACUUACUAACAAAAACCAAAAGUACACUCUAACAUUUGAUCAAUCUAAAAAUGAUUUAAAGUAUAUAUCAAUAUAUUUCUCUCUGAGAUUAAAGGAGAGAGUUUCAGAUUUUAUAUAUUCUUUAUUUUGUGAUGUAGGAUGCUUAAGAAUAUAAUUUUAUCCUUUUAAUUUUAUAAACUUUUAUAUCGAGAUGGUUAUAAGGUAAAACAUGACCCCACUUUGGUAAAUAGUCUACAAAUUUAAAUUCCCUAUAUAAUAAAUAAAAUAUGGAAUCUAUAAAGAAUGGAAUUUAAUUAAAAAAAAGAAAAAAAAGAAAACAAAUUUUUGAUUUUAAACUUGCGAUAUCAGAUUUUAUCAGUUUAUAACUUACACAAUAGUUUAAUUACUAUAUAUUUUGUCAAGGAAAUUUAUGUGUUUCAUAUUAAACAUAUAAAUAGCAUAUAUAUACUUACAUAAAUUAAAAAUGGCUGUUUCUAUUCCUGAAUGAUUUUUUUUCAUGGCACAGUUUUGAGGUGCGAUUCUGUUUCUAUUUGGUCAAUUUUUUUUAACAAUUCUUCAAAUUGUAUUUUUGAUUAAUUUCUUCAGAAUAUAUGUAACAACUCCAAAAAUUAAAUAUGAAAACGUAUGUGAUGGAAAAAUAAAAUGGUAUAUAGAUUGUACGACCACAUGCAAGUUAUUAUAUAAAUGUAAUAAGUCUGUUGCGGUCUUGUAGAUUCGCGAAAUGCUAGAUUUUUAAGAUUACAAAUCAGUGUUUAUUUUGAUAUUUUGCCAUUAUAAUUCAUAAAAACUCUGAGUAUUUAAAGACUUUUAAAUAUUAAUUUUUUUAUUUGGGACUCGACAUUUUUAUUUGGCAUCUAAAACUAAGAAAAAGGAAUAAAGAAUGUGAAAGAAAACAAGUAACACAAAAUGAUAAAUAUAAAUCUCACAUGAAUAUAUUAAAUAUUUAUUUUGAAUUUGUAUGCAAAUACAAAUAAUUUUAUUAAAAUCCCAUAUUAUUAUGUUAAAUAAUAAUUAAGCUGGUGAUACCGCUUUUGAAACAGACACACAAUGAGCCCAUAAUUCAUCUCUUUUCUGUAAAUAUUUGGAUUCGUUUCCGAUUAAACUAGGUCUAUCCGCGAUAUAUUUGACAAGUGUGUCAUGACACUCUUUGCCUUCUUGAACAAGCUCUUUGCAACAAGGAAUGGAUACAACUCCAUCUCCAAAAACUUGGGAAAUGAUCUUGAGCGCACAGUUUGGACUGAUUUUAACAACGCAUUGAUCCCAUAAUUUUUUUGGCUCAUUUUCUUCUACAGCUAAUGAAGGUACACAUGUAAUUGCCACAACUAGAACUACCAAAGACAACAUAAUAAAGUUAAGCUUCACCAUGGUUGUUAUGUGUUUGAGGAUUUACAGUUUAACUUUUCUCAAGUUAGAGAA
rnacentral:lncRNA from 1 species